UGGGGAAUAUUGGACAAUGGGCGAAAGCCUGAUCCAGCCAUGCCGCGUGAGUGAUGAAGGCCCUAGGGUUGUAAAGCUCUUUCACCGAUGAAGAUAAUGACGGUAGUCGGAGAAGAAGCCCCGGCUAACUUCGUGCCAGCAGCCGCGGUAAUACGAAGGGGGCUAGCGUUGUUCGGAAUCACUGGGCGUAAAGCGCACGUAGGCGGAUUGUUAAGUGAGGGGUGAAAUCCCGGGGCUCAACCCCGGAACUGCCUUUCAUACUGGCAAUCUCGAGUUCGAGAGAGGUAAGUGGAAUUCCGAGUGUAGAGGUGAAAUUCGUAGAUAUUCGGAGGAACACCAGUGGCGAAGGCGGCUUACUGGAUCGAUACUGACGCUGAGGUGCGAAAGCGUGGGGAGCAAA
rnacentral:rRNA from 1 species